ACGCGCCCGCCUCGCGUUCUGAGCCGGAGCGAGAGGCGCUUCAGAGAAGGAGGGACCGAUCUGCAGGAGCCGGCCGCCCAGCCGAGCUGCAGUCGCCGCCGCUGCUGCCGCCGCUGUUGCUGUCAGAGCCCGUCCGAAGAGUGACACCUUCGCGAAAAACAGGAGCUACGAAACAGUUGCACACGCAGUCUUCGGAUCUCUGGUCACCAUUCAUGAGCCCGAGGCUGUGAGACAUGCUCCAUGUGCCAAGGGGAGUUCUCACCAAAUCUUCUGAGACUGUCCUAGACAUACGCUGUUCGGACUGAGUCAGCAUUACCAGCUUAUCCAAGAGAAGUACCAUCCUAUUCAUUAACAACGUCGAAAGUAGCCUACUUUAAGAGGAAAUAUGCAGAAGAAGAAGAUUUACAUCAAGAUUACCAUGGGUGUUUUCCAAAACACUUGAUAUUACCCGAAGACAGGACCUGUAUCCUCAAACUUUCCCUGGAGAAGCUCAGGUUUCUUGAAGACCCAGAAACCUACUUAAGAAGGUCUGUGUUAAUUAACAAUUUGCUGAGGAAGAUACACCUAGAGACGGAGAAAGAGAGCUAUGAAUACUUUAAGGAAUCCCCCUCCUAUAAGACUGCUUAUUCGGAUACAAGAAAACGGCUGAAGUUUAUGGUACAGGAGUGCUGUUCCCAGUCUCUCUACUAUGAAGAGCUGCAUUCCUACCACAUUGUGCCUUAUACUUCGGAGAACCCCAUCUACGGGAUGGGCUACACUGGUGACCACUUGGAGCAAAAUUCUCAGUUGCUUAUUUAUAAAAUGAAUUAAAGUAACUGCUAAGUUCGUUGAUAUUUUGUUUCUACAUGCCUGAACUGUUUAUAGUGAAGAUGUUAAUAUACGACACUAAUUACCAGUGCACUUGAUCUCAGUGAUGAGAUGCAUGCCGAACCGAGGGGAGAAAACCAUGGGUGUUACCCAGCAAUCCUUAGUGCCAUCGCAUUGAAUGGAAAAUAUACCCACUUUAUCAGAAAGCAGUGAAUUGAUGCAUUAGGAGAAAAGGUUUUUUAAUUUUUUUUUUUUUUUUGAGAUAGGAAGGGAUUGAUCUCUGGUCAAUCUGUUAGGUUAAAAUUCUUAAGUCACCCCCCCUCCUACCUAAAUUCUGCCACUCUUAUUGAAAUUAUAUAUAUAUAUAUAUAUAUAUAUAUAUAUAUAUAUAAUUGAUAAUGCUGUGGCCCUGAGGACAAGGGGUGGAAUUAAUCUAAUUGUAUUUACACAGUGAGAGUUCUGUCCUUUCAGAAAUUUUUUGGCUUGCCAAACACUGUGCCAAAUGGUUUGCCGUUAGUAUCCUUUAGCCAUGAGUUAAAGAUGGGACCAGCAUGGCAUAUACUGAAGCUUCCUUGCUCAGUGUAGCAACUGGGUUACCACAAGCUCAUCCACUUUCUUCUUUUUGUUGAUGAUUCUUAUAAUCUGAACAGACUUUCUCUUUAAGAAUGAAAUGUAAUAAGUUAGCAUCGCAUAUAGGAUCAUCUUUAAGUUCUACGGGUUGGUUAAAAUUUGUGCUGGGCCUUUAAGAGUUUAAAUUUUAUUUAUGAUCUUACUUUUUUUUAUAGGCUGUGAAGCUCAGGAAAGGGUGGGCAGGCAAAAUAUGUUUUUAAUAGGGUAAUAUUUUUUUUAAAAACCUGCUCUGGAAAGUUGGCGAGGAUAACAGAAUUUAGACGUGAUGUUAUUUCUUCAUCCCGCUAAGAGCUCACAGAAGGUACCGGGAUGAAGCACGGCACUGGUUUUUGAACAGUAGUCAAUCACUUACCACGUCACAAAAUGUCCGAGAAUGCCUUUGGGGAGAGAUGUGGAUAAGUUCUUAUGUUUUGCAGUUCUAAGGGUGAAGAUGUAACACGUUGGAUAGGUUUAUGAAGUUGUUGGGAGUGAUUCAUCGUGUUCUGGAGGUGUGAGUGAGAUGUCUGACCUCAGGGUCUGAAGCUUUUGUCCUGUGGAGUAUUUCAUUUAAAGAACUGUUAUUGAUAAAAAAACAGAUUGGGAAAACUAGGUGCCAAAGGUGUAUUAAGAAAAUACCAAAGACUCAAAGAUGAGUGUUAGGGAGACUCUGAUAGUGAAGGCCAGCCAAGACAAGGUUCUGAUCCAAGGACUGCAUGGGUAAUGUGGAAACAUUGUUAAGGGCUUCAUAAUGACUCGUUUACUGGUGUGCUUCCUAGUGCUUUGUUCAGAAUGACGGCCAACAGGAAUAUGAUGCUAAAUUCAGAUAUCAAGCUUUCGUAACGCAAAUAUGGCAACUGUCAGCACAGUGUCACCCCUAGCUGAAGAGCCGUCUUGUAACCAGGCUGGCUGCAUCUUCCUUUGCUUUUAUUUUUGGUACCACAUUUGGUCCCUAUGAUGAAUCACCAAGGUGAUUUUGCACUAAGAACAUGGGCUCUCUAACUAGAUUGCCCUGUGCAAGACUACCAAGAUACACAAUAGGUCCAAGUGUUGAGUUUAUUUUUAAUUGCUCAAUCAACAUUAUGAAAAGUGCUUUAGAAUAAUGUACAAUGUGUAAUAAGGGGCAAAGGUGUACAGACAAGUUAGUAUGAAUGGCGAGAUGCCUUUGAAAUCCAUAUAGAAAUAUUUAAAAAUUAGUUGGAGAGUAAGAUUUGGCACAAAAGUUUAAUAGUUUUAGUUCAUUGCUUAUAAAAGACCCCUUUUCUCAGAAAACUCCUUCCAAAAAGAUAGAUUUAUUUAAAAGUGAGUCUAGUCCCAAACUCCAAAUUUGAUAGGAUAAUUAUGCCAUCAUAAGUCUAAAAAUAGAACCAGUUAUCUGAUGACUUUUAAAUUGUUACUGAAAGAACACCUGGCAUGACUUACAGCAGCCCCUCUAGGAAGAGGCCACCAAUGCUAACAGGUAUGACAUUUUUUAAAAAAAACACAUGUUAAAAUUGGUUAAAUAUAGAAAUACACGUAUUUGGGGAUAGAAGAGAAAAAAAAUCAUCGAUAAAGUGUAAAUUUGUAAUAUUUCCUGUAUGUCAGAAACCUUAAUCAAAGACAGAACUCUGGGACAAAGAACCAGUAACAGAUGUAAAAUUCAUUUUAUUUCAAGACAUCAUUACUGGAGCGCUUUGAUCUACACACUCUUAUAUAAGCUGUCUUAGAAGCCAGUGGUAUUUGUGAUUCUACUUUUAUUUAAAUAUGCAUUGAUUUAAAAACAAAUUAUUUAAAAAUACCUUUUAGUGCAAAUAAUUUCCCCCAAUAAACUGCUCAUAGAUAAGGAUUUGACAAGUGUUAUCUUGAUUUUUGUUUUAAACUUGUAUUUAAAUUCUGCAGACUUGCCCAAGUUAGCCAGUGGAUGAUUGUGAUUUUACCAGGACCAGCUGGGAUAUAGGGAGAUUCCAUCCAUGUUUGCUCUGCUCGUGACCUGUAUGUUCCACUAUGGAUGGUGCCAACACCAGUUAUAGAUCUUCUGACUUUAGGCAUCCUUUCUCUGGUGACAGAAACCAUCCUUAGGGUAGGGAAACUGGGAUGAGAAAUCUAAGUGUACGUAUUGUACUGCUUAUUCCUGCAGGUACCAUAAAGAUACCCUAGCCCAAAAGAACACACACACACAUACACACACACACACACACACACACACACACACACACAUAUGAAUGCAUGUACACACACAGACAAAUACAGAUAUACAUAGAUUUACACACACACACACACACAGAUAUUCAGAUUUACAUACACACAGGAAAGAGAGGUAGAGACACAGACACACAGAUAUGCACACACACACACACACACACACACACACACACACACACACACCCCUGGUAAAGCAGAAUACAAGGACACAAAAGGAGAGGACUGAGAGAGCAGCAGCAGGCAAGGCUCGUAAGUGAAUGAGCAAACUGUUUCAUGUGAGGGAUUGUUUGUUUGCUGCGUUCAUUUUUUUUUCUUUCCUGUGUCCACUGUACAUAAAGCACCUGCUAUCUGAUUGGAUUGAUCUUCUCUUUCAUUCAGCAAUGAUGCUUAACAUUAGAUUCUAUUCAGCACAGAUGAGAGUGGGAGAGUGGGAUUGCUACAACAUACUGCUGAAACUGGACUCUGGGCAGACCAGUAAAGGAAAAACAGCAAAGACAGCUGGAGGAGAUGCGACACCCUGAGGUUAUGUGCAAAUGUGUAUGCUCAAAUGCAUGACCUGUUUGCAGUGCACCUCUCAAGAUUAAGCGGGUUGCUGGUAGGAGACUUGUGCGGAAGUGCAGAACCGCUCUUCGGGUUGAACAUGGUGCCAGAGCUGGGGGUGUGACCUGAGUGAUACACAGUCACUUUGCUCAGUUUCCCUGAAGAGAACUGAGAUAAUGGUUAUCCAACAUCUUUCUCCAAAAGUGUUUGCAGGUGAAAAGAUGCACUGGGAAGAGGAGAGUUUAAGUAAUGCAGAGCAGACAUCAAAGGGAUGCACACUCUGUGCUCCACAGGGGUAUUUUGUGCUUGGAAGCAUAGGAUGCCUCCGUUGCCUGGGGAAAUGAGGCUGGUCUGCACUCAUCUCUGGGAUGUCUCUUCAGGAGAUGCUGGGAAGACAAAUUCAAGUACAUAACAAUCCCUCCAUCUCUCUAGUUUCUUUUAUGGGGCAAAUCAGGUUAAUAUUAAUGUCGAGGAAAGCCAUAAAGGACAACCCUAAUGGGUAGAUUAUAGCCUAAAGGCUGGGUCUGGCAUGAGUUAAAGCCAGAGAGACAGGCUUUGUUCAUUUGUCAUUUGUUAUAAAUGGAAAUGGGGACUUCUCAACACCUGCUGCUGAAGCCAUCUUCUGUCUGUCCCAUGAGCUGCCUCUCUGAAUCGCAGCUGUGUCCCUGGUCCCCAGUUUUCUUCUGUCCAUCCUCUCUCACACAGACACUGAUCUGCCCAGAGAUACUCGUAAGAGGAUAGCAGCUUAAAAUUCUGGCUGAAUUCCUUUGGGAAAGGGCUCCAGAGUUUAUCAAACUGGAAUCCAUUCACAGUAAUGUUAUUCGUUGGACACAUUUUUCUUUUAAAUGACCAUACUUGGUCACUGAAUACUUGUGAGUUAAGGUAGUAUUCUUGUUUCUAGAACUCAGUGUAACAAUCAUGUUUUGCUAAGAAAAUUCCUGUAUUAGAAACAAAGAUUGUAUAUAAUUAAUUCAAGUACUUUAUGUAAUGUAUGUUGAUUUAACUUAAAUAUUCUUAUUCUUAAACUUUAUUACUAUAUAUUAGCAACAUGACAAGUGCCAUUUUUUAUUUUUAUAGUGAAUUAUGUCUAAAAGUUGUUACAUUCCUGGUUGAAAUUUUGGGGCAAAAUUUCCACAUGAAGAUAAUCCCGUUUUUCCUCAAGGCUUAUGUUAUAUAGUUGACUGAGUUAGGAACACUCCUCUGCAUUGGCACUUCUAAAGUCCCUUUGGACAUUCUGUUCCCCAGUGGUCAUGUUAAUAGUGCAUAUUCUUCUUUGUAGGUCUUUAAUGGGACCUUAAGUCUUCAAUUUUCAAUAUUUUUAGUGAGUGCAUUUUUGAGUAAAAUGGUUAUUUGUAAUUUUAGGAUGAAAACCACAAAUGCAAGCCUAUAUGUGAAUGUCCAUGCCUGUUUUUCAUAGCAAGUUUUUUUCUUUUAAGAAAUACUAAAUAAAAGUAGGUGUAGUGUUACAGCAAUUCCAUUAGAGGCAAGAGGGACAGGAGGGCAAGGUCCUCCUCAGCUAUACAGUGAGUUUGAAAUCAGCCUAGGCUACAUGUGAUGAUUCUGUCUCAAGGGGGAAAAAGAGAGAGAGGAGAUAGCAAAAAUAAACAUCAUAGAGUCAUAAAAGCGUUUGUUCAAAAUAGUCGCAAAUAUAAACCAGCAUAACAUGCAUGGAAAUUGAUUUCCCGAGUUAGAAGAACCAAGCGUGUAAGGGGAACAAAGGUAGAGUUCUGUCUCAUCCUUAUCAGCCUGGGGGAUCUCUUCCCUCAGUCACCCUGGAAUCGGGGUGCUCCACUUGAUAACACAGGAGUAAGUAUAAACUAUUCCAGAGCUAACAAGAAUUAGACAAUCUCUGUGGUCAAAUCUAUAUCUAUAGUACAAAAGGGCCUAUAAACCCAGGAAUCUGGGGGUGCUGGGAUGGAGAGGUUGGCUAGAAAAUGACCUUGGGUUGCUUCCUUCACCCUUUUGUCUUGAACUCUAUUUGACCUCUCCUCUGUACAAAGUCCUGCCCCUGCCAGGGAUCCCCCCUUUUUCCUCAGGUUGGGAGGUCACAGUAAAGGGAUGGAGGAUCAGUAAAUGAGGAAUUGCGUAAGUUGUCUGGUUUGAGCAUGCCAUGUAUUUUCAUCAAGCUCUCUUCUGGUCAUGCGUUUUGGUAUCACUAUUGUGAAAUACAGUGUCAUAAUAACCCAUUAAUGAUGGGAGAGCAGCAGAAGCGUGGCUCUAUGGGAACACACCCAGAUUCGGAGCAGAUGGCCUUCUACAACAUUUAUUUGGGGGAAAAUGUGUGUCUGUUACAUAACCUAAAAUAUGUCUUUUUCGCAUUUAAAAAUAUUUGGGUCAUGGUUUAAAGUUUUGAUUGGAUUGCUUUUUUAAGCUCAGAGGAAGGAGAAGGGUAACUGUAUUUUACAACGUAUUUGACAUGUUACUAAUAAAGUUUUAUUACUGGUGAAA